rnacentral:rRNA from 1 species
UACGUAGGGUCCGAGCGUUGUCCGGAAUUAUUGGGCGUAAAGAGCUCGUAGGCGGUUUGUCGCGUCUGCUGUGAAAUCCCGAGGCUCAACCUCGGGUCUGCAGUGGGUACGGGCAGACUAGAGGCAGGUAGGGGAGAUCGGAAUUCCUGGUGUAGCGGUGAAAUGCGCAGAUAUCAGGAGGAACACCGGUGGCGAAGGCGGAUCUCUGGGCCAUUACUGACGCUGAGGAGCGAAAGCGUGGGGAGCGAACAGG